AGUGAACGCUGGCGGUAGGCCUAACACAUGCAAGUCGAACGGCAGCACAGUAAGAGCUUGCUCUUACGGGUGGCGAGUGGCGGACGGGUGAGGAAUGCAUCGGAAUCUACUUUUUCGUGGGGGAUAACGUAGGGAAACUUACGCUAAUACCGCAUACGACCUACGGGUGAAAGCAGGGGAUCUUCGGACCUUGCGCGAUUGAAUGGGCCGAUGUCGGAUUAGCUAGUUGGCGGGGUAAAGGCCCACCAAGGCGACGAUCCGUAGCUGGUCUGAGAGGAUGAUCAGCCACACUGGAACUGAGACACGGUCCAGACUCCUACGGGAGGCAGCAGUGGGGAAUAUUGGACAAUGGGCGCAAGCCUGAUCCAGCCAUACCGCGUGGGUGAAGAAGGCCUUCGGGUUGUAAAGCCCUUUUGUUGGGAAAGAAAAGCAGCAGGUUAAUACCCCGCUGUUCUGACGGUACCCAAAGAAUAAGCACCGGCUAACUUCGUG
rnacentral:rRNA from 1 species